rnacentral:rRNA from 1 species
CAGUAGCCGCGGGAAUACGAAGGGUGCAAGCGUUACUCGGAAUUACUGGGCGUAAAGCGUGCGUAGGUGGUGGUUUAAGUCCGUUGUGAAAGCCCUGGGCUCAACCUGGAAUUGCUGUGGAUACUGGGUCACUAGAGUGUGGUAGAGGAUAGUGGAAUUUCCGGUGUAGCAGUGAAAUGCGUAGAGAUCGGAAGGAACAUCUGUGGCGAAGGCGACUAUCUGGGCCAACACUGACACUGAGGCACGAAAGCGUGGGGAGCAAACAGGAUUAGAUACCCCCGUAGUCCCUGUCUCUUAUACA